rnacentral:rRNA from 1 species
CAGUCGCCGCGGGAAUACGUAGGGUGCAAGCGUUAAUCGGAAUUACUGGGCGUAAAGCGUGCGCAGGCGGUUUUGUAAGACAGAGGUGAAAUCCCCGGGCUCAACCUGGGAACUGCCUUUGUGACUGCAAGGCUAGAGUACGGCAGAGGGGGAUGGAAUUCCGCGUGUAGCAGUGAAAUGCGUAGAUAUGCGGAGGAACACCGAUGGCGAAGGCAAUCCCCUGGGCCUGUACUGACGCUCAUGCACAAAAGCGUGGGGAGCAAACAGGAUUAGAUACCCCGGUAGUCCCUGUCUCUUAUAC